GAUGAACGCUAGCUACAGGCUUAACACAUGCAAGUCGAGGGGCAGCGGGAUUGAAGCUUGCUUCAAUUGCCGGCGACCGGCGCACGGGUGAGUAACGCGUAUCCAACCUUCCGUACACUCAGGGAUAGCCUUUCGAAAGAAAGAUUAAUACCUGAUGGUAUCUUAAGCACACAUGUAAUUAAGAUUAAAGAUUUAUCGGUGUACGAUGGGGAUGCGUUCCAUUAGGUAGUAGGCGGGGUAACGGCCCACCUAGCCAACGAUGGAUAGGGGUUCUGAGAGGAAGGUUCCCCCCACAUUGGAACUGAGACACGGUCCAAACUCCUACGGGAGGCAGCAGUGAGGAAUAUUGGUCAAUGGACGAGAGUCUGAACCAGCCAAGUAGCGUGAAGGAUGAA
rnacentral:rRNA from 1 species